UGCCCAGAAGCAGGGGAUAACACUUGGAAACAGGUGCUAAUACCGUAUAACAACAAAAUCCGCAUGGAUUUUGUUUGAAAGGUGGCUUCGGCUAUCACUUCUGGAUGAUCCCGCGGCGUAUUAGUUAGUUGGUGAGGUAAAGGCCCACCAAGACGAUGAUACGUAGCCGACCUGAGAGGGUAAUCGGCCACAUUGGGACUGAGACACGGCCCAAACUCCUACGGGAGGCAGCAGUAGGGAAUCUUCCACAAUGGACGAAAGUCUGAUGGAGCAAUGCCGCGUGAGUGAAGAAGGGUUUCGGCUCGUAAAACUCUGUUGUUAAAGAAGAACACCUUUGAGAGUAACUGUUCAAGGGUUGACGGUAUUUAACCAGAAAGCCACGGCUAACUACGUGCCAGCAGCCGCGGUAAUACGUAGGUGGCAAGCGUUGUCCGGAUUUAUUGGGCGUAAAGCGAGCGCAGGCGGUUUUUUAAGUCUGAUGUGAAAGCCUUCGGCUUAACCGGAGAAGUGCAUCGGAAACUGGGAGACUUGAGUGCAGAAGAGGACAGUGGAACUCCAUGUGUAGCGGUGGAAUGCGUAGAUAUAUGGAAGAACACCAGUGGCGAAGGCGGCUGUCUAGUCUGUAACUGACGCUGAGGCUCGAAAGCAUGGGUAGCGAACAGGAUUAGAUACCCUGGUAGUCCAUGCCGUAAACGAUGAGUGCUAAGUGUUGGAGGGUUUCCGCCCUUCAGUGCUGCAGCUAACGCAUUAAGCACUCCGCCUGGGGAGUACGACCGCAAGGUUGAAACUCAAAGGAAUUGACGGGGGCCCGCACAAGCGGUGGAGCAUGUGGUUUAAUUCGAAGCUACGCGAAGAACCUUACCAGGUCUUGACAUCUUCUGCCAAUCUUAGAGAUAAGACGUUCCCUUCGGGGACAGAAUGACAGGUGGUGCAUGGUUGUCGUCAGCUCGUGUCGUGAGAUGUUGGGUUAAGUCCCGCAACGAGCGCAACCCUUAUUAUCAGUUGCCAGCAUUCAGUUGGGCACUCUGGUGAGACUGCCGGUGACAAACCGGAGGAAGGUGGGGAUGACGUCAAAUCAUCAUGCCCCUUAUGACCUGGGCUACACACGUGCUACAAUGGACGGUACAACGAGUUGCGAAGUCGUGAGGCUAAGCUAAUCUCUUAAAGCCGUUCUCAGUUCGGAUUGUAGGCUGCAACUCGCCUACAUGAAGUUGGAAUCGCUAGUAAUCGCGGAUCAGCAUG
rnacentral:rRNA from 1 species